rnacentral:misc_RNA from 1 species
GAUGAAGAACGCAGCGAAAUGCGAUAAGUAAUGUGAAUUGCAGAAUUCAGUGAAUCAUCGAAUCUUUGAACGCACAUUGCGCCCGCCAGUAUUCUGGCGGGCAUGCCUGUCUGAGCGUCAUUUCAACCCUCAUGCCCCUAGGGCGUGGUGUUGGGGAUCGGCCAAAGCCCGCGAGGGACGGCCGGCCCCUAAAUCUAGUGGCGGACCCGUCGUGGCCUCCUCUGCGAAGUAGUGAUAUUCCGCAUCGGAGAGCGACGAGCCCCUGCCGUUAAACCCCCAACUUUCCAAGGUUGACCUCAGAUCAGGUAGGAAUACUCGCUGAACUUAAGCAUAUCAAUAAGCGGAGGA